GACGAACCGUGCGAACGUUAUUCGGAAUCACUGGGCUUAAAGCGCGUGUAGGCGGGACGGCACGUCGGUCGCUGAAAUCCCCCGGCUUAACCGGGGAACUGGCGUCGAUACGACCGCCCUGGAGGGGCGUAGGGGGACCUGGAACUUCCGGUGGAGCGGUGAAAUGCGUUGAGAUCGGAAGGAACGCCCGUGGCGAAAGCGAGGUCCUGGACGCCUACUGACGCUGAGACGCGAAAGCUAGGGGAGCAAACAGG
rnacentral:rRNA from 1 species